rnacentral:rRNA from 1 species
GACGAACGCUGGCGGCGUGCCUAAUACAUGCAAGUCGAGCGAAUCAAUAGGAGCGCAGCUCUUUCGGUUAGCGGCGGACGGGUGAGUAACACGUGGGCAACCUGCGUGUAAGACUGGGAUAACUUCGGGAAACCGGAGCUAAUACCGGAUAAUCCUUUUCCACUCAUGUGGAAAAGCUGAAAGUCGGUUUCGGCUGACACUUACAGAUGGGCCCGCGGCGCAUUAGCUAGUUGGUGAGGUAACGGCUCACCAAGGCGACGAUGCGUAGCCGACCUGAGAGGGUGAUCGGCCCCACUGGGACUGAGACACGGCCCAGACUCCUACGGGAGGCAGCAGUAGGGAAUCUUCCGCAAUGGACGAAAGUCUGACGGAGCAACGCCGCGUGAGCGAUGAAGGCCUUCGGGUCGUAAAGCUCUGUUGUUAGGGAAAAACAAGUAUCGGAGUAACUGCCGGUACCCUGACGGUACCUAACCAGAAAGCCACGGCUAACUACGUGCCAGCCGCCGCCGUAAUAC